GGCUCUAUCGUCUAGAGGCCUAGGACGCCGCCCUCUCACGGCGGAAACAGCGGUUCGAAUCCGCUUAGGGCUACCA
rnacentral:tRNA from 1 species